AUGGCGUCGCCGGCGAGGGACGAGGAGGAGGAGGAGGAGUCGAAGCCGGCGGUGGCGCCCCUGUUCGUGACGCUCAAGGUGGUGGACCAGAAGCAGAACCUGGUCCGACACGCCAUCAGGACGACCGACAAGCUCCAGGCCGUCAUGGACAUGUACUACAGCAAGGUCCCCGGCGUCGAGUACGGCACCGGCACCUUCCAUUUCGACGCCGUCCGCGUGGUCGGCUGGCGCACGCCGGCGGAGCUCCAGAUGGAGGACGGCGACGUGAUCGAUUUCUUUGAGCAGCAGGUAGGCGGCGGUUUGGCUGCGUGA
rnacentral:rRNA from 1 species